rnacentral:rRNA from 1 species
AGAGUUCUCGUAUCCUGGCUCAGGAUGAACGCUAGCGGCAGGCUUAAUACAUGCAAGUCGUGGGGCAGCGCAGUGUAGCAAUACAUGGGCGGCGACCGGCAAACGGGUGCGGAACACGUACGCAACCUUCCUUCAAGUGGGGAAUAGCCCAGGGAAACUUGGAUUAAUACCCCGUAAUAUUAUGAGGCGGCAUCACCUUAUAAUUAUAGCUCCGGCGCUUGAAGAUGGGCGUGCGCCUGAUUAGGUAGUUGGCGGGGUAACGGCCCACCAAGCCUUCGAUCAGUAACUGGUGUGAGAGCACGACCAGUCACACGGGCACCGAGACACGGCCCAGACUCCUACGGGAGGCAGCAGUGGGGAAUUGUUCGCAAUGGGCGCAAGCCUGACGACGCAACGCCGC